CUUUGCUAGUUUUCUAGCGAAUGGUUCAUUCUUUUUUACUGUGAACUGUUUUAAUUUUUCAGCGUCUGAGGAAUGUCUUUUAGCCAUAGGGAUAGGCUACUAGAAUGUUAACCGAGCUGAAAGUCAGGCUUAGGCCUGGUAUCCUAUUAAUUAUUUACCAAAAGAAUUCAGUAUUAUAAUUGUAACAUAAGCGUAAAAAACUUAUAAAACAACUUUUAACAACGGAUCUCUUGGUUCUCGCAUCGAUGAAGAACGUAGCAAAGUGCGAUAACUAGUGUGAAUUGCAUAUUCAGUGAAUCAUCGAGUCUUUGAACGCAACUUGCGCUCAAUGGUAUUCCAUUGAGCACGCCUGUUUCAGUAUCAAAAACACCCCACAUUCAUAAUUUUGUUGUGAAUGGAAAUGAGAGUUUCGGCUUUAUUGCUGAAUUCUUUAAAAUUAUUAGGCCUGAACUAUUGUUCUUUCUGCCUGAACAUUUUUUUAAUAUAAAGGAAUGCUCUAGUAAAAAGACUAUCUCUGGGGCCUCCCAAAUAAAUCAUUCUUAAAUUUGAUCUGAAAUCAGGCGGGAUUACCCGCUGAACUUAAGCAUAUCAAUAA
rnacentral:rRNA from 1 species